UUUUCAAAAGGCCUUUUCAUGAGGAGCACAGUAUUUUUCAUGUCCUAAGUGACAAAAAUAAGAUUAUGUUAGUGCCACUAACUCCUGAGGAGACGACAGAUCAUGAAGCACAAGGAAGACCAGGCACUAGGAAGACCAACACAUAGAGGAGGACAUGUGAAGGCAGCACUCUUAGAACAUGAAUAAUGUGAAUUUCAAAUGGAAAAAACUGCUAAUGACAGGAAAGCUUGAUGCUGCUGGGCAGCUGGACUGUUUCUGCUGGGGUGCAGUAUGGACGUAUGUGUGGGAGACUCUGGGACAUGAAGGCUGA
rnacentral:lncRNA from 1 species